CUACAAAGCCACAUGUACAAUAAAAUGCACAUAUGCAAAACACAAAGAAAAGAUACUGAUGGUGUCUUCAUGGACAGCCGGAGCGGUUGCAGCGUUGCAAAGCGCGCGGCGGAGCUGCACGUGGAGACGCCAACUCGGCAGGGCUGCAGGGACACCUUUUUUGAAUUCUGGUCCCACCGCUGAAGAUCCCCACUUCUGCUUGGGUGAGUUAUUUUAUUUCUCUGGCUUCACUCUCUUCACUUGUGAAAAGAGGAUAAUAAUACCUGUUUGACAGGUUUCUAUGUAUUAAAGACAAUAAUUGUGAAAGCAGCUAACAGGUUUUUUAAAUGUUUUAUGUUGGUGAGUGUUUAAAGUAGGAAAAGGAGAUACGAUAGUUGUUAGAGGCAGUCUGGACCCAUGUCUUUCUGCCUCAUUUCCCUCUCUCACCUGAUAUUCUCUCCAUUCUUAUUUAACUUUCUAAAUUCUAAAGUAUGAUGGCUAGAGCUGACGACCUGUUUUUCUUAGUAGGAGAUUAAAACCAUGGAGUUGGAGGACCUAAAAAGUGUAAAACUUAAAAAGCAGAAUUAACAAACUCAAAACUUUAUUUUCUGUGCAAAAAAGUAUCAAUGUUAGGAAGCAUCAGAGUGAAGCAAUGAUUGCUGAAAUUUAAACUCUGAGAGAAAGCAAUUUGGUAAAGUGUGUGGGACUUUCAGUUAUAUUUCAUGAAAUCUGAGAUGCCUUUGGUUGUAGGAUACAUCAUGUUAUGUAUUAUGAAGGAAAAGUGUUCCUUAUUAAACUGUGACAAAAUGCUUUCUUUGCUCAUAUAAUUUUUUUUCUUUUUUGAAAGAGCCCCUUAAGGUUAAACAUGUAUUGUGACCAUGUGUUACUCUUAGGCUUGUCUAAGGAGAACAGUGGAAAAGUUUGUUAACAUGUUUUGCAAAUCUUGUUCAUGUUCACCUAACUCUUCUAAAUCACAUUUUAGUCACUGAUGUGUGUAUUUUCCCAAACAUCUAUGUCCUCUGGGCUUUCAAGUGAACUGAUGAUAUGGUCUCUCAUAACAUCCCAUAUCUUCUUCUAAGUCACUGACAUCUCUUCGCAAG
ensembl:lncRNA